rnacentral:lncRNA from 1 species
AGAAGUCAAGGUCUCUUUGAUUAGAAUGUUUUUAUGUUUUAAACGUCUACCUAUUAGUUGGGCCGGUAAAAGCCCAAAUAUGUGGCCCAGGAAUACAACAAUGGUGAACUUAGGGUAUUAAAGCCUCCAAAUGUUCCCAAUAUCUUUCUCCACCUUUCGCGGCAGCUGUCUUCGUCUCUGAAAUUAGGGUUUUAAAGCUUCCAUCUUCGUCUCGCGACAGCCAUCAGCGCUGGUCAUGGUCAUAUCGGAAAGCAUCACAAGCAUCCCGAAGGUCGUGGUAACGCCGGAGGAAUGCUCGAGAGCUGCUAGAGGGCGGCAGCGAACGAGAACGGAGAAGAAGAUAUGAUGUCUGGAGUAUAACCUGCGGCGCGGUAGCAGAAAUCAUCGCGGCGGCUAGGUGGGUGGCACUACAUGUUGAGGGAGAUUUCGCAGUGCUCUUCUCUGACCUACGCGGCCAAAGCGGUUCACGAUGACGACAGGUGUGCAAGGUUUCUUCUCUCAUGUUGUUGUCGGUCGAUUUGGUAUUUCUCUUGGCCGGAUCGAGAGUUCAGUUGGUAUGAUCGGAUGUCGGAGGCUUGAUGAGAGUUCUCAGCACUUGGUUACGACGGAUCUAUGCUCAAAUUCAAUUCAGAACUAAAUUCUAAACUCGUACGUCCGCACGGAGUUUAGAUCUUUAUAAACUAAAUUUUGAUUAUCUGAUUUAAUUAAAUGUUUAUGUUGAAUUUAUAAUUUUAAAGUGUGUAUGUGAAAUUUAAUUAUUUUAUUGAUUUAUUUUGUGAAAUUGUCUCUACUGUCCUUAAUGUUGAUGAAGAAGUUGAAGACGAGGCUGUGGAACCUUUGAAAACAGUUUCGCGAGAAGCCAAUACCAGGAGUUGUUAUGCAAUCAGAAAAAUUAGAGAUGAACUCCAAUGAGAUUCCAACUUUCAGUAAAGACAAACAACAAUAAAGUCAUAUUUUAAUAGAUUGCCUUAGAUAUAUUUGCCUUAUUUUUAUGAUUAUUAAUUUAUAUUUUUGUUGGAACCAUAUAUUUAGAUACAGGUUUUUUAAAAAAUUAUUAUCUUAUUAUUUUAUCGAAUUUGAUAUAUUUUUACAUUGACCCGACUUGGGACCAGAUAAAUUUAUAAUUUUAUAGUGAUUAUUAAUUUAUCGAAUGUUAAUUUAUAGAAGUUUUACUGUAUUAUAUUUCCAAACUAAGCUAUACUUUUCGCAAGAUAAAUUUUUGUAGGCAGAGUUUUUUGGUAGAUUAAGUUUUGAAAUAAACAAAAUGAGAAUGAGAAAUAAGAUCUAAUUAAGUGUUAUUGAUUCAAAUAUGUUGCAUUUGUGAUUUUUAGGUUUUUAGAGAGAUUAUUAUACUUUGUUGAUUUGUUAUGUAAUAAUGUGUUUUAAUAUUUAUACCAUAUUUCUAACCGUUAUGUCAAUUAGAUUUUAAUAGACACUGUGUAAAAAGUAACAAAUUUUUAUACAUUGUUUUUGUGAAAUUUUGUUGCAGUAAAAAAUGUUAUAUAAACCAAAUACUGACAAAUCCCGAUAUGCCAG